rnacentral:tRNA from 1 species
GGGUGAGUUAUCAGAUGGGCGCUGAGCCAGACUGUAAAUCUGGCGUCUCCGGACUCGCUAGGUUCGACUCCUAGUUGCCCCACCA